rnacentral:lncRNA from 1 species
GAGGGUGGAGGAAGGAGCUUGUAAAUGAGCAGCUGGUUUGCAGCAAAACCGCACCUCACUCUGCACCUUUGGAUCCCUCUCAGCCUGAGGUUAGCACAGCCAAUGUCCUCACCAGCGUCUGCCAAAGCCCAUGGAGAAGGCCAGCAGGAGCAUAUCACUGUGACUUACAACCCUUCUCUAGUCUGCUACAAUGGAAUCUUAAACAAGAAAAUUUUAUAUUUUGACUUGCAUCAUUGAGAAAAACACUGCCAACCUGAUCGUGGUUCCUUUGAAGAAUCACUGCAGCAGGUGCGAGAGAGGACUCAUGGAGCUUGCAGAUGAGCUAGCCCAGGAGUGUUACCCGUGAUGCCAGGUGCAGGUGAAAGAAGUUGGAAUUGAAAAGAGCAGCAAAAAAUGUACUGCUUUUUAGUGCAUAAGAUCAUGAAAAUAUUGCACUGUGAGGGGAAAAGGUUGGUUUUCAGAGUUGGACUCUGUUGUCACCAAGAGAAGCACCAAGAAAGGGUGUGGAUAACUUACAGUCUGCUCAUUAUAGUCAUCUUAGCAAAGUAUAUUUUUCAAAUAAUUUUGCAUAAUCUUUCAACAGGCUUAUUCUUGUCAUA